CAAUAGCGUAUAUUAAAGUUGUUGCAGUUAAAAAGCUCGUAGUUGGAUUUCUGUUCUUGGGAUCUGGUCCGCCUCACGGUGAGCACUGGAUAACUGGGGACAUCCUCUCGAAGGCGGCAAGUGCACUUGAUUGUGUGUUUGUUGAAUUCGGGACCUUUACUUUGAAAAAAUUAGAGUGUUCAAAGCAGGCGUCGGCUUGAAUACAUUAGCAUGGAAUAAUGGAAUAGGACUUUGGUUCUAUUUUGUUGGUUUCUAGGACCGAAGUAAUGAUUAAUAGGGACAGUUGGGGGCAUUAGUAUUUAAUUGUCAGAGGUGAAAUUCUUGGAUUUAUGAAAGACUAACUACUGCGAAAGCAUUUGCCAAGGAUGUUUUCAUUAA
rnacentral:rRNA from 1 species